AUUUUAAGGUUAAGCUAUAAAGAGCACAGGUGGAUGCCUAGGCACUGAGAGCCGAUGAAAGACGUGAUAAGCUGCGAUAAGCUGCGGUAAGGAGCAAAUAUCCAUUGACCCGCAGAUUUCUGAAUGGGGAAACCUAC
rnacentral:rRNA from 1 species